AGCAGUAGCCGCGGUAAUACGGAGGGUGCAAGCGUUAAUCGGAAUUACUGGGCGUAAAGCGCACGCAGGCGGUCUGUCAAGUCGGAUGUGAAAUCCCCGGGCUCAACCUGGGAACUGCAUUCGAAACUGGCAGGCUAGAGUCUUGUAGAGGGGGGUAGAAUUCCAGGUGUAGCGGUGAAAUGCGUAGAGAUCUGGAGGAAUACCGGUGGCGAAGGCGGCCCCCUGGACAAAGACUGACGCUCAGGUGCGAAAGCGUGGGGAGCAAACAGGAUUAGAUACCCCUGUAGUCCCUGUCUCUUAUAC
rnacentral:rRNA from 1 species